rnacentral:snRNA from 1 species
AUAAUUACUUGGUUCAGGAGAUACAUUGAUCUUCAAUAAGGAUCUCCAAAGACGGGACUUCUGUUUUGCACCUAUAGCGGAAACUGAACCAGCAAUCACCCCUAAUAUUGGUGACUUGAGUGUGUAUUGUUUAAAGGGUGUUCGUAACCUGA